GUGGGGAAUAUUGGACAAUGGGGGGCACCCUGAUCCAGCGAUGCCGCGUGUGUGAAGAAGGCCUGCGGGUUGUAAAGCACUUUUAGUCGUGACGAAGAGAUACUUAUAAAUAGUGAGUAUGGAUGACGGUAGCGACAGAAUAAGCACCGGCUAACUCUGUGCCAGCAGCCGCGGUAAUACAGAGGGUGCGAGCGUUAAUCGGAAUGACUGGGCGUAAAGGGCGAGUAGGCGGAAUAAUAAGUGAAGUGGUAAAGACAUGGGCUUAACCUGUGGGUGACACGUCAUACUGUUAUUCUAGAGAGGAGGAGAGGAGAGUGGAAUUUCCGGAGGAGCGGUGAAAUGCGUAGAUCUCGGAAAGAACACCGGUGGCGAAGGCGACUCUCUGGCCUCCAUCUGACGCUGAGGCGCGAAAGCGUGGGGAGCAAACAGGAUUAGAUACCCGAGUAGUCC
rnacentral:rRNA from 1 species